rnacentral:rRNA from 1 species
CCUACGGGUGGCAGCAGUGGGGAAUAUUGCGCAAUGGGCGAAAGCCUGACGCAGCGACGCCGCGUGAGGGAUGAAGGUCUUCGGAUCGUAAACCUCUGUCAGCAGGGAAGAACGGUCACUGUGCUAAUCAGCAGUGAAUUGACGGUACCUGACUAAGAAGCCCCGGCUAACUACGUGCCAGCAGCCGCGGUAAUACGUAGGGGGCAAGCGUUAUCCGGAUUUACUGGGUGUAAAGGGAGCGUAGAUGGUGCGUCAAGUCUGAAGUGAAAGCCCGGGGCUUAACCCCGGGACUGCUUUGGAAACUGGCGCGCUAGAGUGCUGGAGAGGUAAGUGGAAUUCCUAGUGUAGCGGUGAAAUGCGUAGAUAUUAGGAGGAACACCAGUGGCGAAGGCGGCUUACUGGACAGUAACUGACGUUGAGGCUCGAAAGCGUGGGGAGCAAACAGGAUUAGAUACCCGGGUAGUC